GGAUGCUGCCACCAAGGCCACAUAGGGCAACACCCCUCUUUUCUCUUGGCUUCUUUGUACACUGCUGAACCCCACUAGCACCAGUGCUCUGGUUGCGCCACCACUACUUGAUUGCCUUGGUCGCAUCACGACCAACCCCACCCCUUCUUCUUCCCUUUGUUCUCCCUUAAGAAAGCCACUAGUUCAUCUUGGGCAGAAGAAAGAGGGAAUGAGAGAGAGAGAUGGAAAAAGAAAGAAAGAUGAGAGGGAGAGGGAGAGAGAGAAUUAGGAG
rnacentral:lncRNA from 1 species